rnacentral:lncRNA from 1 species
AUGGGAAACCUGAACUGCUGUUCUGGAGGAUGUUUUGCCCAGAAGACCAGAAGAAACAUCCCUCAGAGAUCAAGAACUUCCACUACCAGCUGGGUCAGGAGGUUUCGUAGUUGGCCACGAAACAGGCUGCACCCUAUAACUGACACAGUUGAAGAGCUCCCUGAGGACCAGCUGGAGGAGCUGUCCAAUUCAAAGUUGGAGGAAGAGGCUUUGCCCACCUCUGUGGCAUGCAGAGCAGCCUGCGCACAUGGUCCCCAGAAGGUCCUGGUGGUGGGAGUGCCCCAGGCCUCGGCUGAGGAACAGCCUCUGUGGACCCUGAAGACUUACGGAGCAGCAUAUGAACACGCUCCCCAGGAGGACCUGGUGGUGAAACGGCGUGAGGCCUGGGCCGAGAAACAGCCUAUGAGGACUCCGAAGGAAUCCGGAGCAGUCUAUGAACAUGGUUUCACUGAGGACCUGCCAGUCAAUUCAGCUUGUGACAGGACCGAAGAGACUCCGUGUGUCUCCAAGGUGGCCCUUUCAGGAUGUGAAAGUGACUGCUUCCUGGAAAGUAUUAGCAGCAGUGACGAGGAAGAGACUGCAGACUCUCCACAUGACUGUUGCCCUCAGAAACCGGAAAACUUCAUGGACAAUACUGAAGAAUUGGAGCAGGAUAACAAGAAUAUGGAGAUGUCAAAAAGCUCUCUGGUCAUCUUCUUGAAGAGUGCUUUUGGGAAUAUCAUCAGUAAUGAUGAAGAAGACCUGGAAGAGCAAGUGUGAACGUGGGACCUGGGGUGAAAAGGCUCUGCUCUGAAUCCAUGAAGACCCUGACCUGAAUGUCAUCCUGGACCCCAGAGGGGAUGGAGCCCCCAUAGCACCAGAAGCCUCAUCUGGACCAGAUCAAGGGAGGCCUCACUGCUUCUUUCCUGAGGGUCCUCAUUUA